rfam:Asian citrus Psyllid, Diaphorina citri - Florida Strain, whole genome shotgun sequence.
UGCUUCAUGGUGUAGUGGUCAAUACACUUGUCUUUUAAUCAGGAGGGUGUGGGAUCAAUCUCACCUGAGGUGU